AUUAUUGGAGUUGCAAAGCCUCGGUAGGCAGACGUCGUUAAUGGAGCCGGGUCUUUUCACUGACUAACCAUUCAAAAGCUACAUCCAGUCCAUGGGCUACAAAGUCACCUAGUUCAUCAGCGUUUAUCAGGUCACUGCACAGAGCAAGGACUGCCAAUAAUGCAGUGGUGACCACGCCGUUCACACAACUCCUUGAUCAACAAAACACUGUGGUGCAUGAGGCAGUCAUUGGGGCAAUUACGGAAGAGCCAAUCCCUCACAUUCCUCAAUUCCCUAUUGUGCUCCAAGUUGUUCCUGUGUUUGACAUCCGACAGAUAUUAGCUACUGCAGAGGGUACGCCAAUAUUGAACAGCCUGGACAGCACAGGUGUGAUAACGAUGAAGGAGAGGCGUUCCAUGGUCCACAUCUUGGUGUCUCAUCUAAUGGAUAAAUUUGGAGAAACACCUACAUCAGACACCAAGACUGCACUGGCAUCCUCUCUGGUGCAAACAUUCCCCUGUCUGAAGGAUGCAUCUACCAGCGGCUGUGACACAUGGUAUGCCAAGGGGCACCUGAAUCGUCCAGCCACUGGCUUUCUUGAGGAGAGGCUGAGGAAUAUAAGAAAAAGGAUCAAGUCUGCACAGUGACCCCAGAGAGAAGAGGGAUCCAUGCCAUGCCGCAUAUUUUUAGAAAAAAAAAGAGGUAUCGCACACCAAUAAAGUCUUUCCUGAGGUGCUGGCUUCUUGUGCAUAUAAUUGUUAAAGAAAAUAAAGAGAA